ACACUGGUGAAGGAGAUUGUUCUCAUGUACGACAACAGCAGCUGAAUGACCUUAGCUAUGGAGUCGGUCGUAGAACUUUCAAUCUCUUGCUCACGUCAAGAUCUAAGAGCUGUAUCAACUUAUCUAUCAAGUUGGUGGUGCAUCUUUGUAAUAGAUAUGGGUUAUCGUUUAAAAAAAGAAGAGAGAGAGUAAAGUUUACAUGAUAACAACACUUGACUGCACGUUGAGGACAUUCUGUUAGCAAAAGAAAUUGUCCUAUCUAAGCAGAGGAGCAGUGCCCAAAAGGAAUGGAUUCAUGUGAAGUUCAAUGAGAUGUAAAUCUUUCUCUCUCUCUCUCUCUCUCUGUCUCUGCUGUGGAGGGUCACAUGUACAGUUAGGUGUCAAGAUGUUCUCAAUUUCCUUCUUUCUUUUUCGUUCUCUCCUUUUCUGUUUCUCCCCCUUUAUUUUUUCAAUUAUCGUGCUCUCAAGAUGGUCCCCUGCAGAAGGGCGAUUGUUUUAAACAUCCUUUUUGGUCGUUUUCGAGAGUUACAGGAUCUGCAGGCGUCUCCAUCCGUUCAUCUUUCUGGAGAGAGGUUAGAGAGAGAAAGAGAUGGUAAUUUCAGGAAGUCACGCUAGCCCUGCAUGCCUAGUGGCAUCGACAUGCAUAUUAUUCAAUCCCUUUCCUCUUGGUCGGCUUUUUGGGACCACCAUGUUGGUCUGGUUUGUGGGCUCUCUCUCUGUAGAUUUCUCUCUCUAAUUUUUUUUUUUCCCUAAACUCGUGGCUGUCCUCCUAUUUAUUCCCAUCAAAGCGAGUCUCCAAGGAACACCAUCCAAGGCAAGGAGAAGAACAAAAAAAAAAACAAAACCCUACCUCUUCUCUCCGUCUCUCUCUAUCUCUCUAGGGCCUUAUUGUUUCGUUAGAGAUGCUGGGUGGUGCACAGAAACGGUGAUGGCGGCGGCCUAUUCCUGAUGAUGCCUGCUGAGGUGAAGAUUUAGGGGUUGAAGCUGCCAGCAUGAUCUGACUCUCUCUCUCUCUCUUUCUCUAUCUCUCUGCCCGGUAGAACAGAUCAUGCUGCAGUUUCAUCCGCUAAUAUCUGCACGAUUUCUUUGAAGUGUUGUCAAUCCGAGGCCUCCAAUACUCAGAGUUCCCAAGGGAGAAACCUCCAAGCAUUGGAGCAUCCUGAUGAUGGACGAAAAUGCUACGUUUACUAUUUACUAUGGCCUGUUAGGGAACUGCGCUUCAAGUACUUCCCUAUAUUCCUAGAAGAUGAAGUUUCUGUUCCUCUCUUCCUUGUUGCAAGAGACGAUUACAGAAAUGAUUUUUGCAGAAAUCCACUUAUUUCAGCGUCUAGAUGUCGGGGAGGACUUGUCUCUAUCAUUUACAGGUUCCCCGAUACUUUGCGAGAUCCAGUCUUUCCUGCUAUAUCACUACAAUUUCUAAUGGUUAUUGAUCCAUUGCAUGAGCUCUCUCUCUCUCUCUCUCUCUCUCUCUCUCUUUUUCACCUUAUUUGUUCCCUAUUUUUCCCUUUACUUUUUCAAUCAGAGCCAUUUUCUAUAUAUAUAUAUAUAUAUAUGACUUUGGCUAUCAAAAGUCAUCAAUCAUUUAUGGUUGAGCAAAACAAAGAGAAAAAGGUAUCAACUAAUAAUAAAUGACAAAAAUAUUUAUUUAUUUUUGUUUUUUCUUAAUCAUCCAUUAUAAUGGAUCAAAUGGUUCUAGUUAAAUUGCUAGCUGACUUUGAAAAGCCCAAGU